rnacentral:lncRNA from 1 species
CACCUAUAAUCCCAGCUACUCGGGGGGGCUGAGGCAGGAGAAUCGCUUGAACCUGGAAGGUGGAGGCUGCAGUGAGCUGAGAUCGUGCCAUUGCACUCCAGCCUGGGCAACAAGAGUGAAACGCCAUCUAAAAAAAAAAAAGGUAACAAAAAACUCUCCCUCAAAUUCGUGUUGAUACCUAAUUCCCAAUGUGAUAACAUUUGGAGGUGCGGCCUUUGGGAGGUGAUGCAGUCAUGAGGGUGGAGACCUCAUGAAUGGGAUUAGUGCCCUUAUAAAAGAGACCACCAGAGAGCUUCCUCUCCCCUUCCUUCAUCUGAGGACACAGUGAGAAGCCAGCUGUCUAUGAACCAGAAAGCAGGCCCUCAUCACACAUUGAUUCUGCUGGCGUUUUGAUCUUGGACUUCCCAGCCUCCCUGUGAGAAAUGAAUUUCUGUUGCUUACAGGCCACCUGGUCUAUAGUCCUCUGUUACAGCAGCCUGAAUGAACCAAGACACCCAUGUACACAUUUACAAACAAAACAAGUACGGCCUAGCCCACAUUCUCAGGAGCUUACAAUUUUCCUUUAAGUAAAGUUACGUGGGAAGACCCUGAACUGUGGAGCAAAAAGGGCCUGCGUUGAGACUAGCUCUCCUGCUUGUCGUGCUGUGGUCUUGAGAAGCACCUGAACUCUUUGACCCCUUUCUCCUCAUCUGUGGAAUUAGGGUAACUAUGCCAUUCCCCAGGCUUGCUACCAGGAGGAGAAUGCGGGGACAGACUUGGGAGCAGCUCACAUUCCUGAAGAAGUUAACGUUCUAAGGUAUGGUGGUGACAAGCCGGACCGGGCAGAAUACAUUCUUCCCGUGGUGAAACAGAGGAAAAUAAAGCUGGACAGACAGUGAAGGGCCCUGUCAUGGAAAGCUCCAGCCAGACAGAGCGGUCUGGAGUUUGUUUUGCAGGCAGUGGUCAUGGGGAAAGGCUUUGUGAAACUCACGGUUCAGCGGCUGAGUCUCACCGCCUGUGUAGCUUGGGUGGGGUGGAGUGAGACUGGAGGCUGGGAAGCACCUGAGAGGUGUCAAGGGCUGCCGUGUGGACUUAGCCUGGGGCAGUGGGAGGGGUAGGGGUGGAAGGCAGGCCACAGGAGUGAAAAUAGGGCCCCGGUUUCCAGGGCGUCGUUCCCCCUGCAUCUUGCUCUCUGCCUUUCUCCUCUUGUCCUUCUGUCUCCACCCCUAUCCCCAUCUCCCAAAUGCUUCAGAGCAUAAAGGUGCUGCCCAGCCAAAAUCACCCGCACAAACUCCAGGUAAACUUGGUCUGGGCAGCUUUGAGUGGGUCAUGAGUGGAGGAAGGGCAGGCCCACUCUUUCCUUAGUAUAUGAGUGAGAAAAGCGACCGCUGGUUAGAUCUCACAGGAAACCAGAGCCUUGUGGCAGCACCUGACUUCAGGUGCAGCACAGCCCACGGAGUGAGAAGCUGACACCUCUGUGCCUGCUGAGGCAGGCUGCUCC